GUUUUUGUAAACUGUUAUUAAACAACGGUAAACAUUAAGUAGACUGAACUCAAUUUUUAUCAGGUUGUUAUUAGAUCUCAGGUUAGGUAAGUUACCUGUACUUUUUAUUCAAAGAGCUGAUCAACUCAGUUUAUUUGAGUUGUCUUAAAUUAGAAAAACUAAGUAAGCUGGAAAUUUAAACUAUAUGGUUUGAAAAUGCCACGUCACUAUCGUCCUCCUCCUCGCACAGAUCAGUCCGCGUGUUCAUGGUGCCGCCAUCUUUUUCUGGAAUAUGUUGAGCAAACCUGGAGAAGCUUCAGCUCAAGAGAUCAUUGUUGUCACUGCUGUGGAUCUUUACCUGAUACACUGACUCAACCUGAGAUGUGACUGCUCUGUGCUGUUGCUGAUGACUCCAGUUAAUCCUACAAGACAUGCUGUGACACCAGCAGAGAUGAGUCCUCCAUCACAGAUGGUUGGUCAGUGACCUGCAGGUCGAAGGUCAUUGCAUCUCCAGCCCACAUCCACUGCCACUGUACUGAAGGGAAGUUAAAGACUUUCUGCUGCACUUACAUUUGGAUCAGCUCGAUCCAUGACAGUCAUUCAGGCAGUGAUGCCUGGACUGGAAACAAGCAUCCUUAAA